rnacentral:rRNA from 1 species
UACGUAGGCAGCAAGCGUUUGUUCGGAGUUACUGGGCGUAAAGCGCGCGCAGGCGGUCCUUUAAGUCUGAUGUGAAAGCCCACGGCUCAACCGUGGAGGGUCAUUGGAAACUGGGGGACUUGAGUACAGAAGAGAAGAGUGGAAUUCCACGUGUAGCGGUGAAAUGCGUAGAGAUGUGGAGGAACACCAGUGGCGAAGGCGACUCUUUGGUCUGUAACUGACGCUGAGGCGCGAAAGCGUGGGGAGCAAACAGG